UACGUAGGGGGCGAGCGUUGUCCGGAAUCAUUGGGCGUAAAGCGCGUGUAGGCGGCUUGGUAAGUCCGGUGUGAAACCUUGGGGCUCAACCCCAAGCCUGCACUGGAUACUGCCUCGCUUGAGUCCGGGAGGGGAGAGCGGAAUUCCUAGUGUAGCGGUGAAAUGCGCAGAUAUUAGGAAGAACACCGGUGGCGAAGGCGGAUCUCUGGGCCAUUACUGACGCUGAGGAGCGAAAGCGUGGGGAGCGAACAGG
rnacentral:rRNA from 1 species